rnacentral:lncRNA from 12 species
CAAGACACAUUUAUUCUUUCAUCCUUCUCAGGGGCUAGAAAUCUGAAAUCAAAGUGUCAGCAGGGCCAUCCUCCCUUUGAAGGCUCUAGGUAAGAGCCCAUCCUCAUCUCUUCCAGCUUCUGGUGGUCACAGGCAAUCCUCGGCCUUCCUUGAUUCAUAAUUCUCUCCACCGUCCCAUGGCCUCUUCCAUCCGUGUGUGUCUUCACCUAUACUCUUAACUGGAAUAUAUCUUCAAAGCCCUGAUUCCCAAAUGAUCUUAAAAUUGUUAUCUCCUGUUCUCCAAUGGGGAAACUGAGGCAGAGGAAGAAGCUCUGUGUGGCUUCAGGCCUCAGAACCUGCUCAUGGUAAGCCAGGAAUAGAACCCUUGUCUUUUGUAAACCAGCUAAGCGUGGAAAGCACGGGACACGUCUCUCCAGUCUUUGC